rnacentral:lncRNA from 1 species
UAGAAUUGGACCUCAAUUUGAAGCUUUUAAACUCAAUGUUAUUCGAAUAAAGAGAGUUCGCACCAGGAAACCUCAAACCAAACCUUAACCACGACCAAACUCAACUCAGUAUAGAGAAAUACAAACCGAACAGAUUCGAAAAACCAAUAGAGAAUCUCAAAAUGACUGACUCCAGCCCGGUAUAAAAAACUAAUGACAAAAUUGAGUCAAAAUUAAAUAAAAACUACAGAUCAAACUACAAAAUAAAAAUCCCAAUUGAUCCAAGAACAGAAUCGUGAUAAAACCCAAAACCAUAUGCGAGAACUUUGCGGAAAUAAAAUCAAACAGGAUGAAUUCGAUGAGAAAUUGGCUGUUGGUUCUUGUUUUCCGGUGACGAGAAAUGUAUUCAAGUCGGCGGUGAUGAAAAGUGACUGUUUACCAGCGAGAAAUUCACCGAAAAAAUCAACACUGGAAGAAUUUCGUUCAACCUCCGUGAUUUCCCAUUAUUCUCUAUUCUCACCUUCUCUCUCGCGACCUUCUAUUUUAUCUACCUCGUGAGUGCGUCACUAUUGUGUCUGUGUCUUUGUGGAGUUCCGGUGAGAGUAUAUGUGUAUUUUGGUGGGUAGUGUAUUUGUCUUUUCUGGUGAGGUGUGUGUAUUUAUAUUGUGUGUGUGUAUUUCAGAGUGUAUUUCGAGUGAGCUGUGUGAGUGCAUUUUCCUUUGUUCAAUAGAAAAAAUCCCAGCAUUUUUUCAUAGCUGUGCGUGUAUUUAUAUUACUCUUAAUCCAUGGAAAGAUGACGAACGAUGUGUGUAUGUGUAGUGGCUAUGAAUAUGGUGGGCCCCUCCAAGUGUUGUGAUGUGUGUAUUUAUGAAAUUCCCCUCUUUUUUUCUGUG